rnacentral:rRNA from 1 species
GACGAACGCUGGCGGCGUGCUUAACACAUGCAAGUCGAACGGAAAGGCCCUGCUUGCAGGGUACUCGAGUGGCGAACGGGUGAGUAACACGUGGGUGAUCUGCCCUGCACUUCGGGAUAAGCCUGGGAAACUGGGUCUAAUACCGGAUAGGAGCCAUUUUUAGUGUGAUGGUUGGAAAGUUUUUUCGGUGUAGGAUGAGCUCGCGGCCUAUCAGCUUGUUGGUGGGGUAAUGGCCUACCAAGGCGGCGACGGGUGGCCGGCCUGAGAGGGUGGACGGCCACAUUGGGACUGAGAUACGGCCCAGACUCCUACGGGAGGCAGCAGUGGGGAAUAUUGCACAAUGGGCGCAAGCCUGAUGCAGCGACGCCGCGUGGGGAUGACGGCCUUCGGGUUGUAAACUCCUUUCGCUAGGGACGAAGCUUUUUGUGACGGUACCUAGAUAAGAAGCACCGGCUAACUACGUG